UCUGGUGGCGAUAGCGAAGAGGUCACACCCGUUCCCAUACCGAACACGGAAGUUAAGCUCUUUAGCGCCAAUGGUAGUUGGGACUUUGUUCCUGUGAGAGUAGGACGUUGCCAGGC
rnacentral:rRNA from 1 species